GACUGGGCUUUGGGGUUGAACUUUUUUUUUUUUUUUUUUUUAAAGAAAGAAAAAGAAACCCUGGGAUCCAUCUGUUUUUGUUGUUGUUGUUGUUUUUGUUGUUGUUGUUGUUGGUGGUGGUGGUUCUUAAUUUUUAAUUUAGUUUGGGGAAGUAGCUUGUUUUUUUUUUUUAAAUAAAUAUGUUGAUUUCUUGUCUUUUUUUUAUUUAAAAGUAACAUCAACACUGUCCCAUCCUCAGCCCUGAACCCUACCAUCUGAUCCCCUCAGACAUUCUCAGGAUUUUACAAGACUGUCAGAGUGGGGAACCCCUCCCAUUAAAGAUCCGGGCAGGACUGGGGACAGGUUGGAAAUGUGAUGGGUUGGGGGGUGGGAGGCAUGGGCCGGGGGCAGUUCUCUCCUCACUUGUAAACUUGUGUAGUUUCACAGAAAAAAAAAA
rnacentral:lncRNA from 10 species